UUGAACGCUGGCGGCAGGCCUAACACGUGCAAGUCGAGCGGAUGAAGGGAGCUUGCUCCUGGAUUCAGCGGCGGACGGGUGAGUAAUGCCUAGGAAUCUGCCUGGUAGUGGGGGAUAACGUCCGGAAACGGGCGCUAAUACCGCAUACGUCCUGAGGGAGAAAGUGGGGGAUCUUCGGACCUCACGCUAUCAGAUGAGCCUAGGUCGGAUUAGCUAGUUGGUGGGGUAAAGGCCUACCAAGGCGACGAUCCGUAACUGGUCUGAGAGGAUGAGCAGUCACACUGGAACUGAGACACGGUCCAGACUCCUACGGGAGGCAGCAGUGGGGAAUAUUGGACAAUGGGCGAAAGCCUGAUCCAGCCAUGCCGCGUGUGUGAAGAAGGUCUUCGGAUUGUAAAGCACUUUAAGUUGGGAGGAAGGGCAGUAAGUUAAUACCUUGCUGUUUUGACGUUACCAACAGAAUAAGCACCGGCUAACUUCGUG
rnacentral:rRNA from 1 species